GCGGGGAAGGGUAGCUUGCUACCUAACCUAGCGGCGGACGGGUGAGUAAUGCUUAGGAAUCUGCCUAUUAGUGGGGGACAACAUUCCGAAAGGAAUGCUAAUACCGCAUACGCCCUACGGGGGAAAGCAGGGGAUCUUCGGACCUUGCGCUAAUAGAUGAGCCUAAGUCAGAUUAGCUAGUUGGUGGGGUAAAGGCCUACCAAGGCGACGAUCUGGAGCGGGUCUGAGAGGAUGAUCCGCCACACUGGGACUGAGACACGGCCCAGACUCCUACGGGAGGCAGCAGUGGGGAAUAUUGGACAAUGGGCGCAAGCCUGAUCCAGCCAUGCCGCGUGUGUGAAGAAGGCCUUUUGGUUGUAAAGCACUUUAAGCGAGGAGGAGGCUACCGAGAUUAAUACUCUAGGAUAAUGGACGUUACUCGCAGAAUAAGCACCGGCUAACUCUGUGCCGGCAGCCGCGGUAAUACAGAGGGUGCGAGCGUUAAUCGGAUUUACUGGGCGUAAAGCGUGCGUAGGCGGCUUUUUAAGUCGGAUGUGAAAUCCCUGAGCUUAACUUAGGAAUUGCACUCGAUACUGGGAAGCUAGAGUAUGGGAGAGGAUGGUAGAAUUCCAGGUGUAGCGGUGAAAUGCGUAGAGAUCUGGAGGAAUACCGAUGGCGAAGGCAGCCAUCUGGCCUAAUACUGACGCUGAGGUACGAAAGCAUGGGGAGCAAACAGGAUUAGAUACCCUGGU
rnacentral:rRNA from 1 species